rnacentral:rRNA from 1 species
CUAGCCGUAAACGAUGGAUACUAGGCGUUGUGAGUAUCGACCCUCACAGUGUCGUAGCUAACGCGUUAAGUAUCCCGCCUGGGGAGUACGCGCGCAAGCGUGAAACUCAAAGGAAUUGACGGGGGCCCGCACAAGCGGUGGAGUAUGUGGUUUAAUUCGAUGCAACGCGAAGAACCUUACCAGGACUUGACAUGUCGCGAAUCUCAGGGAAACUUGAGAGUGCCUUCGGGAGCGCGAACACAGGUGGCGC